rfam:Rattus norvegicus chromosome 19, whole genome shotgun sequence.
GGGGAUUUAGCUCAGUGGUAGAGCGCUAGCCUAGCAAGCACAAGGCCCUGGGUUCGGUCCCCAGCUCCG